AAAAAGUGGGAGUGCAUAUGUAACCCACACACCUCCUGGUUGUUGUGCUCUGUCCCAUCAAGUGGCACAGAGACCACUUAGAGAGAGAUGAAUGAGUCUGCUCUACAGCCUUAGCCAAGGGCCAUAUGGCUUUUAGCUCAUGCAGUAAAGGCUCAUGCACUAAGCUCCAGAGGUCCCAGGUUCGA